CGCUGGCGGCGUGCCUAAUACAUGCAAGUCGAACGGUCUUUCUAUGGAGCUGCUCCACUGAGAAGAUAGUGGCGAACGGGUGAGUAACACGUGGGUAACCUGCCCAUAAGGAGGGGGAUAACAGUCGGAAACGGGUGCUAAUACCGCAUAGUUUUCUUGAUCGCAUGAUCGGGAAAGGAAAGACGGCCUUUGUGCUGUCGCUUAUGGAUGGACCCGCGGCGUAUUAGUUAGUUGGUGAGGUAACGGCUCACCAAGACGAUGAUACGUAGCCGACCUGAGAGGGUGAUCGGCCACAUUGGGACUGAGACACGGCCCAAACUCCUACGGGAGGCAGCAGUAGGGAAUCUUCCGCAAUGGACGAAAGUCUGACGGAGCAACGCCGCGUGAGUGAAGAAAGGUUUUCGGAUCGUAAAACUCUGUUGUCAGAGAAGAACAAGUUGGAGAGUAACUGCUCCAGCCUUGACGGUAUCUGACCAGAAAGCCACGGCUAACUACGUGCCAGCCGCAGC
rnacentral:rRNA from 1 species